AUGUGCUUGUACGGGUACCCGGACGGUAGUUGGGAGUUGACACUGCCGGAGGAGAUGGUGCCGCCAGGCCUGCCGGUGCCGACACGAGGCAUCAACCGCCGGCGAGAUUAUGUGAACCGUUCUGACUACCUGACACUCGUCGCCCACCACUCCGACUCGUGGCUCAUGGGCGUCACCUUUUUCUUGUCCACUCAUCUCGACGCCAACCAAAGGAUACGUUCACUUGAUAUGGUAAACGAGAUGCGAACAGUCCAUGACGAAUUCUAUCUCUCUUACGAUCUUUCUUGGCUAUCAAGAUUUGCGCGAUACAAUGCAAACAAGGAGUCGAGUGCACUAACUCAAGAGAAUGUGUCCAAUCCAGACGUAGUCUCCAUCACACAUGCUGAAGAGAACGUGCCACCUGCUCAAGACUCGAUGCAAGUUUUGUCUGCUCCAAACAGGGACUCUAGGAAGCCUGCUAAAGACAAACAAAAGGAUAAUAAAGUUACUGACUUUUGCGGAUCUUGUAAUGCUCCGUAUCAUGCCAAUGCCUUUUGGAUUGGUUGUGACGGAUGUGACCAGUGGUUCCAUGGCAAAUGUGUGAACAUAACUGCCUCUGAAGCAAAACAUAUCGAAGAAUACAAGUCUCCUGACUGCAUCCGCGAGGUGAUCGGAGAGUAG
rnacentral:rRNA from 1 species